GUGCCGCCUUGAGCGGGCUGAAGCGACUGCUGUCACUACUACAUUCUUUUUUAGGUGUGACAGGGCCUUGGAUCUAUAGACAAGCUUCUUGUUCACCAGGAGCACCCCUGCAAUGUGCAUUUUCGUGUCAAAGCCACAUCGUUGCCUUUGUAAUGAAUCAGCACUUACACCUGUACUAGGCAAUCAUGCAGUUGGCACCCCAAAAGAAAGACCCAGAGAGAGAGAGGCGGAGACCCAGGCAGAGGGAAAAGCACGCGGAACUCC